GACAGAGGUGCCGAGCGUUAGGCGGAAUCACUGGGCUUAAAGCGUGUGUAGGUGGAUGCCUAAGUACCUUGUGAAAGCCCGAGGCUCAACCUCGGAACUGCCUUCGAUACUGCGGGUCUCGAGUCCGGGAGAGGUGAGUGGAAUUCCUAGUGUAGAGGUGAAAUUCGUAGAUAUUAGGAAGAACACCAGUGGCGAAGGCGGCUCACUGGCCCGGUACUGACGCUGAGGCGCGAAAGCGUGGGGAGCAAACAGG
rnacentral:rRNA from 1 species